UUCCUUUUAUAGUUCCUAAGUGUGAUGAUUGGGUGUUCACGCUCUUGUGCGAGAUGUGCCUCCCACAAACCUUGUUACGACAUCGGCACAUUACCCGUCUGAUG
rnacentral:snoRNA from 1 species